rnacentral:rRNA from 1 species
UACGGAGGGAGCUAGCGUUGUUCGGAAUCACUGGGCGUAAAGGGUGCGUAGGCGGGUCUUUAAGUCAGGGGUGAAAUCCUGGAGCUCAACUCCAGAACUGCCUUUGAUACUGAGGAUCUUGAGUUCGGGAGAGGUGAGUGGAACUGGCGAGUGUAGAGGUGAAAUUCGUAGAUAUUGGGAAGAACACCGGUGGCGAAGGCGGCUACUCUGGACCGAGUACUGACGCUGAGGCGCGAAAGCGUGGGGAGCAAACAGGG